rnacentral:sRNA from 1 species
CUGGCAGUUGUUUUCUGGUCGAUCUCUACAGGUCCUUCGGCCGCUGGGUAUCCAUGCAUUGCACAUGAAAAUUACUUUUUCAUGUAGAACAUGCUUGUUCUAUGAGAGCAGGACCUUAUGUAUCCGUUUGAUUUCCAGCAGCGGCCGUGGAGUUAUUCCGCAUGUACAUGUACGGUGCCAUGAAGCCGUGUUUUUCUGUCUUCAAGCAUUAAGUAACGGCUUAAAUUAACUAUCUAGGUAAUUAGCUAUUCGAAGUAUCAUCCUCUUAAUUGAAAUGGGAGUCCAUCAUGGGGAAGGACAGUAUGUUGUUUAGAUAUGUCUCCUCUCCGCCCACUCAUCAACUACCUCCCAGGGUUGAGAUCAGAAUCCUCGGGGCCACAAGAUCUCUACAGUGGAUAUGGAAUAAUAAUGCCUUCCUCCUUUACCGACUAGCCAAGGGCGCGUCUUGUAUCAUCUCCUUUGCAUCAAGAUGCAUAAGACUAGAUAAAAAUAGCAAGUACAAUGGUCUCGAAGCUUGUGUGGAUGAAAUUUGUUCAAC